AGGUGAUUCUUUAACCAGAUGCGUAAAUGCGGAAUGUGUCCCUGUAAGACAUUCAUAUAAACAAUUUCAUGCAUCUGAAAGAUUCCUGGUCAAACCACGCACCUGCCACAUCUGAGAAGCCAGCUUCUGCCCUUCCUCUGCCCGCUUCUCUGACCGUGGAUGGCCUGGGGCCAGGGCACUCAGGGCGGGGACCCCCUCUCUGUCGCCGCAGUCCUUUGAGAGACCCACAUGUUGAUUUCACGGAAGACGGAGUUGGUUACUUCAGGAAGCUCUUUGUGGAGAACGUGGUAGGCACCUUCGUAAAUCUGCAACGAGGAGACAAGAAGUCAGGGCUUCAGGAAGUGACCGGUGAAGGGAGGGAGGCCAUGGGCGGCAGAGGGGGCCCUCCAGACUCUCCCCAUGCCCCAGGACUCCCAUCUUCCUGGCGCCAACACCUGUUGAUCAGAUGAUGGUUCAAAUAAAUUAAAGUGUGCCCCAUG